rnacentral:lncRNA from 1 species
AAAAAUAUACUUUUCAUUAAUUGUAAACUUUGUGGAGAAUAUUUGUUACCUUAAUGGUCAAUAUUAUUACUCAAACGUAAUGUAGAACAUUAUUCAUUAUUUCCUUUUAAUUUAUAAUUAAUGGGUUUUAUUAUUGUAAGCGUUGUAAUUUAUCUCUAUAAUUUAAUUAUAGUAACAAAAAUAUUCUAGUACCUAUCCGACUUUUAAAUAAUGUAGAAAAAAAAAAAGAAAUAUUCCAAACGCAAAUGCAAGUAAGUGACCGACACGUGGUAGAUAAUCCUAGCGAUUACCCGGUAAUUUUGUUACUCAAAGAAAAAAAAAAAGUAAACAAAAGACCAAAUAUUAAAUAUUUGUUUUGGGUGAAAAGACCAGAACCCAAACUCAGUUACACA